ensembl:lincRNA
UUUUAAGCCAGUGCUUUGAGUCACCUUUCAUUGAGGUUUCUUCUAUGUGAAGUGCACUGCAUGUAUUUGUAAACCUACUUGUUUUUCUCCUGUUAAUCUGUCUUUUGUUACAGGAGUCAGUCCCAACUACAAAUUUAAGAGAAUCACGGAAACACCCACAAACUUAUGAGGAUCACAGAAAACACCCCUACACCAACUUAUAGCCAAUCUAUUCAACCUGCAUUGUUAGCAGGCCGUGAAACCUCAGUUGUAACAUCAAUAAAAUGGGAAGAACAAAAAAGUUGCUGUGAAGUUAAAUGAGGUAAUGCAUGGAAAGCAUUUAAUAUAGAAGCUGGCAUAAAGUAAAUGUUAAC